rnacentral:lncRNA from 1 species
CGGUGAGCACCAAUCCUGGGUGGCAGGAGAAGACAGGAGUAGACAAUAGAGAUGCCGAUUUCUAAGGAAUGAAGAAUCUGAUGGACUGCUUUACGUCAGGUCCGAGGGUGUACUCUUUCUGGAUCACAUGCUGCUUCCCUAAAGCUCUAUUGCUUGGCAACAUGAGAUGCCCCCACCAACCAACCAACAAACAAACAAAUCCCCGUGGAGUAUAUUCAGUGUCAAGGAUGGGGUGUUGA